rnacentral:rRNA from 1 species
UGGGGAAUAUUGCACAAUGGGCGCAAGCCUGAUGCAGCCAUGCCGCGUGUGUGAAGAAGGCCUUCGGGUUGUAAAGCACUUUCAGCGGGGAGGAAGGCGGUAAGGUUAAUAACCUUGGCGAUUGACGUUACCCGCAGAAGAAGCACCGGCUAACUCCGUGCCAGCAGCCGCGGUAAUACGGAGGGUGCAAGCGUUAAUCGGAAUUACUGGGCGUAAAGCGCACGCAGGCGGUCUGUCAAGUCGGAUGUGAAAUCCCCGGGCUCAACCUGGGAACUGCAUUCGAAACUGGCAGGCUAGAGUCUUGUAGAGGGGGGUAGAAUUCCAGGUGUAGCGGUGAAAUGCGUAGAGAUCUGGAGGAAUACGGGUGGCGAAGGCGGCCCCCUGGACAAAGACUGACGCUCAGGUGCGAAAGCGUGGGGAGCAAACAGG